GGUCAAGGCUCUCAGGUCUUUCCAGAAGACAGGUCCAUUUCUCAUGAUGUCUCCGAAGCCCUCCAGUUUAUAUCCAAAUGAGGAACUCUCAGCUACAUCUCUCUUCCUGCUGCCUUGAGAUCCAGAUAUAGAACUCUCAGCUACCAAAUCUGCCUGCAUGCUCCCCAUGCUCCCUGCCACGAGGAUAAUAGACUAAGACUCUGGCAUUGUAAGCAAGCCUCAAUUAAAUACUUUCUUUUA